rnacentral:tRNA from 1 species
GGUAGACGCUACGGACUUAAAAAAUCCGUCGACUUUUAAAAUCGUGAGGGUUCAAGUCCCUCUAUCCCCA